UAGGUUGUUAUCGAUAUUCCAAAGACAGUAACGGCGAAAGCUUAAUCAUGUUACCGAGGGACGCAGAUACUUGUUUUUAAGUAUGCAAGCCCGCGGUCCGCGGGCUUUUGUAUUUUGGAUA
rfam:Faecalibaculum rodentium strain Alo17, complete genome.